GAUGAACGCUGGCGGCGUGCCUAAUACAUGCAAGUCGAGCGAACAGAUGAGGAGCUUGCUCCUCUGACGUUAGCGGCGGACGGGUGAGUAACACGUGGAUAACCUACCUAUAAGACUGGGAUAGCUUCGGGAAACCGGAGCUAAUACCGGAUAAUAUAUUGAACCGCAUGGUUCAAUAGUGAAAGACGGUUUUGCUGUCACUUAUAGAUGGAUCCGCGCCGCAUUAGCUAGUUGGUAAGGUAACGGCUUACCAAGGCAACGAUGCGUAGCCGACCUGAGAGGGUGAUCGGCCACACUGGAACUGAGACACGGUCCAGACUCCUACGGGAGGCAGCAGUAGGGAAUCUUCCGCAAUGGGCGAAAGCCUGACGGAGCAACGCCGCGUGAGUGAUGAAGGUCUUCGGAUCGUAAAACUCUGUUAUUAGGGAAGAACAAAUGUGUAAGUAACUAUGCACGUCUUGACGGUACCUAAUCAGAAAGCCACGGCUAACUACGU
rnacentral:rRNA from 1 species